rnacentral:rRNA from 1 species
GACGAACGCUGGCGGCGUGCUUAACACAUGCAAGUCGAACGGAAAGGCCCUGCUUUUGUGGGGUGCUCGAGUGGCGAACGGGUGAGUAACACGUGAGUAACCUGCCCUUGACUUUGGGGUAACUUCAGGAAACUGGGGCUAAUACCGGAUAGGAGCUCCUGCUGCAUGGUGGGGGUUGGAAAGUUUCGGCGGUUGGGGAUGGACUCGCGGCUUAUCAGCUUGUUGGUGGGGUAGUGGCUUACCAAGGCUUUGACGGGUAGCCGGCCUGAGAGGGUGACCGGCCACAUUGGGACUGAGAUACGGCCUAGACUCCUACGGGAGGCAGCAGUGGGGAAUAUUGCACAAUGGGCGGAAGCCUGAUGCAGCAACGCCGCGUGCGGGAUGACGGCCUUCGGGUUGUAAACCGCUUUCGCCUGUGACGAAGCGUGAGUGACGGUAAUGGGUAAAGAAGCACCGGCUAACUACGUG